GGUUGUGGCUCAGUAGUAGAGCACUUGCCUCACAUACGUGGGGCACUGGGUUCAAUCCUCAGCACCG
rnacentral:tRNA from 1 species